GUCGCCGUGGUGUAGUCGGUUAUCACGCCUCCCUUACAAGGAGUAGGUCCCCAGUUCGAACCUGGGCGGCGACA